CACGUAGUUAGCCGUGGCUUCCUCCUCUGGUACCGUCAUUAUCGUCCCAGAAGACAGAACUUUACAACCCGAAGGCCUUCAUCAUUCACGCGGCGUUGCUGCGUCAGGGUUUCCCCCAUUGCGCAAUAUUCCCCACUGCUGCCUCCCGUAGGAGUCUGGACCGUGUCUCAGUUCCAAUGUGGCCGAUCACCCUCUCAGGUCGGCUACGCAUCGUCGCCUUGGUGAGCCGUUACCUCACCAACUAGCUAAUGCGCCGCGGGUCCAUCUCAAAGCGGAUUACUCCUUUGAUGUCUAGGUCAUGCGACCAAAACAUAUUAUGCGGUAUUAAUCUUCCUUUCGGAAGGCUAUUCCCCUCUUUGAGGCAGGUUACCCACGUGUUACUCACCCGUCCGCCGCUAAUCCACCCCGAAGGGUUUCAUCGCUCGACUUGCAUGUGUUAGGCACGCCGCCAGCGUUCGUCCUGAGCCAGGAUCAAACUCU
rnacentral:rRNA from 1 species